rnacentral:rRNA from 1 species
UGGGGAAUUUUGGACAAUGGGCGAAAGCCUGAUCCAGCAAUGCCGCGUGUGUGAAGAAGGCCUUCGGGUUGUAAAGCACUUUUGUCCGGAAAGAAAUCCUUGGCUCUAAUACAGUCGGGGGAUGACGGUACCGGAAGAAUAGGCACCGGCUAACUACGUGCCAGCAGCCGCGGUAAUACGUAGGGUGCAAGCGUUAAUCGGAAUUACUGGGCGUAAAGCGUGCGCAGGCGGUUUGCUAAGACCGAUGUGAAAUCCCCGGGCUCAACCUGGGAACUGCAUUGGUGACUGGCAGGCUAGAGUAUGGCAGAGGGGGGUAGAAUUCCACGUGUAGCAGUGAAAUGCGUAGAGAUGUGGAGGAAUACCGAUGGCGAAGGCAGCCCCCUGGGCCAAUACUGACGCUCAUGCACGAAAGCGUGGGGAGCAAACAGGAUUAGAUACCCUGGUAGUCCACGCCCUAAACGAUGUCAACUAGUUGUUGGGGAUUCAUUUCCUUAGUAACGUAGCUAACGCGUGAAGUUGACCGCCUGGGGAGUACGGUCGCAAGAUUAAAACUCAAAUGAAUUGACGGGGUCAUAGCUGUUUCCU